ensembl:snoRNA
GUGCCCUUUUAAGGUUGAUGCAGUGCUUUAAGAGGCUAACACAGAAGGGUAAAGGAAACCUCCAUAAAACCCAGAGAAGAGACUGCAAAACUCUUCUUUGGAUCCUGUCUGGAGUUACAGAU